UACGGAGGGGGCUAGCGUUGUUCGGAAUUACUGGGCGUAAAGCGCGCGUAGACGGCCCUGCAAGUCGGGGGUGAAAGCCCGAGGCUCAACCUCGGAACGGCCUUCGAUACUGCGGGUCUCGAGUCCGGGAGAGGUGAGUGGAAUUCCCAGUGUAGAGGUGAAAUUCGUAGAUAUUGGGAAGAACACCGGUGGCGAAGGCGGCUCUCUGGGCCGAGACUGACGCUGAGGCGCGAAAGCGUGGGGAGCAAACAGG
rnacentral:rRNA from 1 species